AGCACCACAACAGGUGGAGCCUGCGGUUUAAUCGGACUCAACGCCGGGAAACUCACCAGAUAAGACAGCUGAAUGAUAGUCGGGCUGAAGACUCUACUUGACUAGCUGAGAGGAGGUGCAUGGCCGUCGUCAGUUCGUACUGUGAAGCAUCCUGUUAAGUCAGGCAACGAGCGAGACCCACGCCAACAGUUGCCAGCUCGUCCUCCGGGAUGGUGGGGACACUGUUGGGACCGCUCUGCUAAAGAGGAGGAAGGAAUGGGCAACGGUAGGUCAGCAUGCCCCGAAUUAUCUGGGCUACACGCGGGCUACAAUGGGUGGGACAAUGGGUAUCGACACCGAAAGGUGAAGGCAAUCUCCUAAACCCACCCGUAGUUCGGAUUGUGGGCUGCAACUCGCCCACAUGAAGCUGGAAUCUGUAGUAAUCGUGUCUCAAAAUGGCACGGUGAAUAUGUCCCUGCUCCUU
rnacentral:rRNA from 1 species